rnacentral:rRNA from 1 species
GACGAACGCUGGCGGCGUGCCUAAUACAUGCAAGUUGAGCGAGGAAGAUUGGUGCUUGCACCAAUUUGAAGAGCAGCGAACGGGUGAGUAACGCGUGGGGAAUCUGCCUAUGAGCGGGGGACAACAUUUGGAAACGAAUGCUAAUACCGCAUAACAACUUUAAACAUAAGUUUUAAGUUUGAAAGAUGCAAUUGCAUCACUCAAAGAUGAUCCCGCGUUGUAUUAGCUAGUUGGUGAGGUAAAGGCUCACCAAGGCGAUGAUACAUAGCCGACCUGAGAGGGUGAUCGGCCACAUUGGGACUGAGACACGGCCCAAACUCCUACGGGAGGCAGCAGUAGGGAAUCUUCGGCAAUGGACGAAAGUCUGACCGAGCAACGCCGCGUGAGUGAAGAAGGUUUUCGGAUCGUAAAACUCUGUUGGUAGAGAAGAACGUUGGUGAGAGUGGAAAGCUCAUCAAGUGACGGUAACUACCCAGAAAGGGACGGCUAACUACGUG